rnacentral:rRNA from 1 species
UACAGAGGGUGCGAGCGUUAAUCGGAAUGACUGGGCGUAAAGGGCGCGUAGGUGGUUGAGCAAGAUUGAUGUGAAAGCCCUGGGCUUAACCUAGGAAUGGCAUCGAUGACUGUUCAGCUAGAGUACUGUAGAGGGUAGUGGAAUUUCCGGUGUAGCGGUGAAAUGCGUAGAGAUCGGAAGGAACAUCAGUGGCGAAGGCGGCUACCUGGACAGAUACUGACACUGAGGCGCGAGAGCGUGGGGAGCAAACAGG